GAUGAACGCUAGCGGGAGGCCUAACACAUGCAAGCCGAGCGGUAGAGUCUCUUCGGAGACUUGAGAGCGGCGCACGGGUGCGGAACACGUGUGCAACCUGCCUUUAUCUGGGGGAUAGCCUUUCGAAGGGAAGAUUAAUACCCCAUAAUAUACUGGAUGGCAUCAUCUGGUAUUGAAAACUCCGGUGGUUAGAGAUGGGCACGCGCAAGAUUAGAUAGUUGGUGAGGUAACGGCUCACCAAGUCAGCGAUCUUUAGGGGGCCUGAGAGGGUGAUCCCCCACACUGGUACUGAGACACGGACCAGACUCCUACGGGAGGCAGCAGUGAGGAAUAGUGGACAAUGGGUGAGAGCCUGAUCCAGCCAUCCCGCGUGAAGGACGACGGCCCUAUGGGUUGUAAACUUCUUUUGUAUAGGGAUAAACCUAGAUACGUGUAUCUAGCUGAAGGUACUAUACGAAUAAGCACCGGCUAACUCCGUG
rnacentral:rRNA from 1 species